rnacentral:ncRNA from 2 species
GCAUAUCCCGCUGACCAAGGUGCUCGACCGCGAGAUAAUCGGGAAAUCUGGUGCGCGUUACGCUAAUCCAGUGCUGCCCCCGCAACGGUAAUCGAAAGUAAUUUGCCAACGCCACUGUGUCGUCAGUUUUGACAUGGGAAGGCGCAAAUGUUGUGUCGAAAAUGCUUCGACCUUUCGUAAGCCCGGAGACCGGCCUUGCUUUAUCCACUGCA